GACGAACGCUGGCGGCGUGCUUAACACAUGCAAGUCGAACGGAAAGGCCCUGCUUUUGUGGGGUGCUCGAGUGGCGAACGGGUGAGUAACACGUGAGUAACCUGCCCUUGACUUUGGGAUAACUUCAGGAAACUGGGGCUAAUACCGGAUAGGAGCUCCUGCUGCAUGGUGGGGGUUGGAAAGUUUCGGCGGUUGGGGAUGGACUCGCGGCUUAUCAGCUUGUUGGUGAGGUAGUGGCUUACCAAGGCUUUGACGGGUAGCCGGCCUGAGAGGGUGACCGGCACCAUGGGAACUGAGGCAGGGUCAAGAGGCCUAAGGGAGGCAGCAGUAGGGAAUCGUACGCAAUGGGCGAAAGCCUGACGGAGCAACGGCGCGUGAGUGAUGAAGGUUCGAGGAUCGGAAAACUAUGUUAUGAGGGAAGAAAAAAGGGGGAAGGAAAUAUGCAGGGCGUGACGGUACCUAAUCAGAAAGCCACGGCUAACUACGUG
rnacentral:rRNA from 1 species